GAAAGCAACACUAUUUACUUUAUAAGGGAAUUUAAGACACGUACUUUUUAACAACCUGUAUUACUAGCUCAACUACGAAAUGAAAAGCACUUGUCGCAACAGGAAGUGGUAAUACACCCUAUCAAAUUGGUCUUCAUAACAUGGAGGAAGAGUGGAUUUGAAGAUGAAGUUAACGGCCUAGGCGCGGGCCAUUGUAUAGUCGCCUGCUUUUCACUGCCAUUAUUUUCUGGGAGUUGUCCUAUGGACGUGCUCUCGGAGCUGUUCCACUGCCAAAAUGACCACAGAGUCCACCUCUGCCCAGCAUCAAGCAUCAGAGGCUGCAUGCAGGAUGUCAGUAGGACACGUGAACCACGUACAACCAAAGCUGCCCCUUCUGAAGAUUUUGCAUGCAGCUGGUGCAAAUGGUGAAACCUUCACAUUGAAGGAGGUAUGUAUUGAGCUGCUUGCUCUAAGGG